rnacentral:rRNA from 1 species
UACAGAGGGGGCAAGCGUUAUUCGGAAUUAUUGGGCGUAAAGGGCGCGUAGGCGGCUUGGCAAGUGGAUGGUGAAAUCCCUCGGCUUAACCGAGGAACUGCCGUCCAAACUGCUUCGCUUGAGACCGGGAGAGGUGAGUGGAAUUCCCAGUGUAGCGGUGAAAUGCGUAGAUAUUGGGAGGAACACCAGUGGCGAAGGCGGCUCGCUGGACCGGUUCUGACGCUGAGGCGCGAAAGCGUGGGGAGCAAACGGG